CGCUACCUACGGGGGGCAGCAGUGGGGAAUAUUGCACAAUGGGGGAAACCCUGAUGCAGCGACGCCGCGUGUGGGAAGACGGUCUUCUGGAUUGUAAACCACUGUCCCCAGGGACGAAAAUGACGGUACCUGGGGAGGAAGCUCCGGCUAACUCCGUGCCAGCAGCCGCGGUAAUACGGAGGGUGCAAGCGUUACUCGGAAUCACUGGGCGUAAAGAGCGCGUAGGCGGGAUAGCAAGUCAGAUGUGAAAUCCUAUGGCUUAACCAUAGAACUGCAUUUGAAACUGUUAUUCUAGAGUAUGGGAG
rnacentral:rRNA from 1 species